rnacentral:rRNA from 1 species
GAUGAACGCUAGCGGGAGGCUUAACACAUGCAAGUCGUGGGGCAGCACAGGUAGCAAUACUGGGUGGCGACCGGCGCACGGGUGAGUAACGCGUAUGCAACCUGCCCUGUACAGGGGGAUAGCCCGGAGAAAUUCGGAUUAAUACCCCAUAAAGAUAUGAGAAGGCAUCUUUUUAUAUUUAAAGUUUCGGCGGUACGGGAUGGGCAUGCGUGACAUUAGCUAGUUGGCAGGGUAACGGCCUACCAAGGCUUCGAUGUCUAGGGGUCCUGAGAGGGUGAUCCCCCACACUGGUACUGAGACACGGACCAGACUCCUACGGGAGGCAGCAGUGAGGAAUAUUGGUCAAUGGGCGCAAGCCUGAACCAGCCAUCCCGCGUGCAGGAAGAAGGCGCUAUGCGUCGUAAACUGCUUUUUCAGGGGAAGAAAUCCCGUACGUGUACGGGACUGACGGUACCCUGUGAAUAAGCAUCGGCUAACUCCGUGCCAGCAGCCGCGGUAAUACGGAGGAUGCGAGCGUUAUCCGGAUUCAUUGGGGUUAAAGGGUGCGUAGGCGGAACGAUAAGUCAGUGGUGAAAUUCUGCAGCUUAACUGUAGACGU